rnacentral:rRNA from 1 species
AGGGUUUGAUCAUGGGCUCAGAAUGAACGUUGGCGGCGUGGAUUAGGCAUGCAAGUCGAGCGAGAAUCUGUGAGUGGAGGCUUCGGCCAAAGCGAUCAGAGGACAGCGGCAAACGGGGUAGUAAUGCGUAGGUGACGUACCCCAGGGACCGGGAUAGCCGCGGGAAACUGCGGGUAAUACCGGAUGACCUCUUCGGGCCUGGUAGCCUGAAGAGCAAAUGGUGAGAUUCCGCCCUGGGAGCGGCUUAUGUGGUAUUAGGUUGUUGGUGAGGUAACGGCUCACCAAGCCUGCGAUGCCUAGGGGGUGUGAGAGCAUGGCCCCCACCACUGGGACUGAGACACUGCCCAGACACCUACGGGUGGCUGCAGUCGAGGAUCUUCGGCAAUGGACGCAAGUCUGACCGAGCGACGCCGCGUGCGGGAUGAAGGCCCUUGGGUUGUAAACCGCUGUCAGAGGGGAUGAAAUGCGAGGGGGUUCUCCCCCCCGUUUGACAAAGCCUCAAAGGAAGCACGGGCUAAGUACGUGCCAGCAGCCGCGGUAACACGUACUGUGCGAACGUUAUUCGGAAUCACUGGGCUUAAAGGGUGCGUAGGCGGCUAUUUAAGUAGGGUGUGAAAUCCCCCGGCUCAACCGGGGAACUGCGCUCUAAACUGAAUGGCUUGAGCAAGAUAGGGGUGUGUGGAACUUCCAGUGGAGCGGUGAAAUGUGUUGAUAUUGGAA